rnacentral:rRNA from 1 species
CAGCAGCCGCGGGAAUACGUAGGUCCCGAGCGUUGUCCGGAUUUAUUGAGCGUAAAGCGAGCGCAGGCAGUUAGAUAAGUCUGAAGUUAAAGGCUGUGGCUUAACCAUAGUACGCUUUGGAAACUGUUUAACUUGAGUGCAAGAGGGGAGAGUGGAAUUCCAUGUGUAGCGGUGAAAUGCGUAGAUAUAUGGAGGAACACCGGUGGCGAAAGCGGCUCUCUGGCUUGUAACUGACGCUGAGGCUCGAAAGCGUGGGGAGCAAACAGGAUUAGAUACCCCCGUAGUCCCUGUCUCUUAUACA